AAAAAAAUUAAAACUUUCGCAUCAUAAAUUAAUUUAUUUUCUUCUUAAAACUUUGUCAUAAAUUUUAAUUGCUCUUAUCUAAUCAUAUCAGUGCGUUUUGGCUAAAGUUUGCCAGAAAGUGUGUCAAUAAAUAUGUACGUACAUAUUUAGAAAUGCAGACAGAUAUACGUACAUGCAAACGUAUUAAAUGCAACACAGCUAAAAGUGAAUCGCUCAGUUAUCAGUAGCGGCCAAAAUUUGUCUGUGUAUUAGUGAAAGAGUCCUCCGGGGCGUAUGAGUGUAGAAAUUCUUGCUUAUUUGAAAAUCAAACAUAUACUUAUAUGUACAUGGUGUUUAUACUAUAGCAUACAUAAGUAUAUCCAUAAGUAUUUUGAGAAAAAAAUCGCAUAGAAAUUUGACAAAUAAAUUGAAAAUAUUGUGAACCCAAUAAAUAUGUCAACUGCAGCCUAGACCAAAAAAUCGCUAUCUUCAGCCAUAAAUACAUUAUACAUAAAACGAAGACUCCAAUGAUGAAAAUCUGAACAUUGAAGAUUUUGGUGAUGGCACUGUCCCAACAUUAACAACAACAACACCCACAUCCAUCAUUUAAGUAUCUAGUACUAGCGGCAGCAAGACCCCUGUCAUUCAUUUCGGUGAUAAUCACUGCGGAAGCGGUGACACAAACUACAAAAACAUCAACAAUAUCAAUAAUAACAACAAAAAAAACUACAACUCUAACAAUACUAACGCUGCCAAUACAAAAUUCCAACAGAUAAAACAAAAAAAAAUACGUCACAGAUUACAUCAACAGCAGCCAUAUCAACAACAGCAGCAAUUGUGGUAAUACAAAUUUUUGCCAAGAUACAGGCAACACAAGCCAAUAGCAAGAACAAUAACAACAGCGCUAACAAAGCCAGUUGUAUUAGGUUUUGCAGUAACAGUAACAGCAGAAAAAUGCGCCGCAAUGUAAAAUUCAUUGUUUUUGUUAGCAUCAUUUGGAUAUUCGUUAUGGUCUACUACUUCCAGUCCAGCACGGAAAAGGU